GACGAACGCUGGCGGCGUGCUUAACACAUGCAAGUCGAACGGAAAGGCCCUGCUUUUGUGGGGUGCUCGAGUGGCGAACGGGUGAGUAACACGUGAGUAACCUGCCCUUGACUUUGGGAUAACUUCAGGAAACUGGGGCUAAUACCGGAUAGGAGCUCCUGCCGCAUGGUGGGGGUUGGAAAGUUUCGGCGGUUGGGGAUGGACUCGCGGCUUAUCAGCUUGUUGGUGGGGUAGUGGCUUACCAAGGCCUUGACGGGUAGCCGGCCUGAGAGGGUGACCGGCCACAUUGGGACUGAGAUACGGCCCAGACUCCUACGGGAGGCAGCAGUGGGGAAUAUUGCACAAUGGGCGGAAGCCUGAUGCAGCAACGCCGCGUGCGGGAUGACGGCCUUCGGGUUGUAAACCGCUUUCGCCUGUGACGAAGCGUGAGUGACGGUAAUGGGUAAAGAAGCACCGGCUAACUACGUG
rnacentral:rRNA from 1 species